GACGUAGGAGGCGAGCGUUGUCCGGAUUCAUUGGGCGUAAAGAGCACGCAGGCGGUUUGGCAAGUCGGAUGUGAAAACCCGAAGCUCAACUUCGGGCCUGCAUCCGAAACUGCCCGACUAGAGGUAGGUAGGGGAGAUCGGAAUUCCUGGUGUAGCGGUGAAAUGCGCAGAAUAUCAGGAGGAACACCGGUGGCGAAGGGCG
rnacentral:rRNA from 1 species